CCUACGGGAGGCAGCAGUGAGGAAUAUUGGUCAAUGGACGAAAGGCUGAACCAGCCAAGCCGCGUGCAGGAAGACGGCUCUAUGGGUUGUAAACUUCUUUUGUACGGGGGUAAACGGAGAUACGCGUAUCUGUCUGAGAGUAUCGGACGAAUAAGGAUCGGCUAACUCCGUGCCAGCAGCCGCGGUAAUACGGAGGAUCCGAGCGUUAUCCGGAUUUAUUGGGUUUAAAGGGUGCGUAGAUGGGUGGUUAAGUCAGUUGUGAAAGUUUGCGGCUCAACCGCAAAAUUGCAAUUGAUACUGGCUGCCUUGAGUACAGGUGAGGUAGGCGGAAUGCGUGGUGUAGCGGUGAAAUGCAUAGAUAUCACGAAGAACUCCGAUUGCGAAGGCAGCUUACUAACGCGCAACUGACAUUGAUGCUCGAAAGUGUGGGUAUCAAACAGGAUUAGAUACCCUAGUAGUC
rnacentral:rRNA from 1 species